UGCGUAGGCGGAUCUUUAAGUCAGUGGUGAAAGCCUGCAGCUUAACUGUAGAAUUGCCAUUGAUACUGGAGGUCUUGAGUGUACUAGAGGUAGGCGGAAUUUAUGGUGUAGCGGUGAAAUGCAUAGAUACCAUAAAGAACACCGAUAGCGUAGGCAGCUUACUGGAGUACAACUGACGCUGAGGCACGAAAGCAUGGGGAGCGAACA
rnacentral:rRNA from 1 species